UAGGGAAUCUUCGGCAAUGGGGGGAACCCUGACCGAGCAACGCCGCGUGAGUGAAGAAGGUCUUCGGAUCGUAAAGCUCUGUUGUUAAGGAAGAACGAGUGUGAGAAUGGAAAGUUCAUGCUGUGACGGUACUUAACCAGAAAGGGACGGCUAACUACGUGCCAGCAGCCGCGGUAAUACGUAGGUCCCGAGCGUUGUCCGGAUUUAUUGGGCGUAAAGCGAGCGCAGGCGGUUAGAAAAGUCUGAAGUGAAAGGCAGUGGCUCAACCAUUGUAGGCUUUGGAAACUGUUUAACUUGAGUGCAGAAGGGGAGAGUGGAAUUCCAUGUGUAGCGGUGAAAUGCGUAGAUAUAUGGAGGAACACCGGUGGCGAAAGCGGCUCUCUGGUCUGUAACUGACGCUGAGGCUCGAAAGCGUGGGGAGCGAACAGG
rnacentral:rRNA from 2 species